GAGAAAAAGCAGAGGCACCCGCUUCUCGCCUAGGAAAUGUAGGUUUCCGGGCAGAAAUUAUGAUAUUAAUUCUAAUUAAAACGGAUUAUUAAGACGGGCAUUCUGAUUUUUUGGAUGUCCGUUUUCUGCAUUUUCU
rfam:Lactobacillus salivarius TCC118, complete genome.